rnacentral:misc_RNA from 1 species
GAUGAAGAACGGAGCGAAAUGCGAUACGUAAUGUGAAUUGCAGAAUUCAGUGAAUCAUCGAAUCUUUGAACGCAUAUUGCGCUCUCUGGUAUUCCGGAGAGCAUGCUUGUUUGAGUAUCAGUAAACACCUCAACUUCCAUAUCUUUUUUGAAAUGGGAGUUGGACUUGAGUGAUCCCAACGCUUUUCCUCACCGAAAAGUGGCGGGUUACUUGAAAUGCAGGUGCAGCUGGACUUUUCUCUGAGCUAUAAGCAUAUCUAUUUAGUCUGCCUAAAAAACAGAUUAUUACCUUUGCUGCAGCUAACAUAAAGGAGAUUAGUUCUUGUGCUGACUGAUGCAGGAUUCACAAAGACAGGCUUCGGCCGACUUUGUAAACUCGAUCUCAAAUCAAGUGAGACUACCCGCUGAACUUAAGCAUAUUCAAUAAGCGGAGGA